UGUAUUUAUUAGAUAAAAAACCAAUGCCCUUCGGGGCUUUUUGGUGAUUCAUGAUAACUUUACGGAUCGCAUAGCCUUGCGCUGGCGACGGUUCAUUCAAAUUUCUGCCCUAUCAACUUUCGAUGGUAAGGUAUUGGCUUACCAUGGUUUCAACGGGUAACGGGGAAUUAGGGUUCGAUUCCGGAGAGGGAGCCUGAGAAACGGCUACCACAUCCAAGGAAGGCAGCAGGCGCGCAAAUUGCCCAAUCCCGACACGGGGAGGUAGUGACAAUAAAUACUGAUACAGGGCUCUUUUGGGUCUUGUAAUUGGAAUGAGUACAAUUUAAACCUCUUAACGAGGAACAAUUGGAGGGCAAGUCUGGUGCCAGCAGCCGCGGUAAUUCCAGCUCCAAUAGCGUAUAUUAAAGUUGUUGCAGUUAAAAAGCUCGUAGUUGAAACUUGGGCCUGGCUGGCGGGUCCGCCUCACCGCGUGCACUCGUCCGGCCGGGCCUUCCUUCUGAAGAACCUCAUGCCCUUCACUGGGCGUGCUGGGGAACCAGG
rnacentral:rRNA from 1 species